GAAACUUCUCUUUACCACCAAGUUAUGAUGUAGUCAUUGGUAUCUUAUCAGCAAGGGGUAAUACUGAGCAGCGCCAAGCACUCAGAGAAACAUGGGUUGGACAUGCCCUACAACACCCCUCCCUGGGGCAAAGGAUAUUGAUCAAGUUCAUAGUUGGCAGUCAGCCAUGUCCCAUACCAGCAUUAGACAGGCUUGAUCAGUAUUCCUGUGAACCAGACGUUGUUGUUGACCCAGUACUGCAACAAGACAUCAUAGCUUACAUGGUUCCUAAAGGAGCAGUUGGAUAUCACUAUCACAAUGGCCCCUUGGGUAUGGACUUCAGGGUGAAUUUUCCUAUAAUUGUCACUCAGCUUGGAGUAUUUGACAGCAAUUCAGAUGGAAUUAAAAGUCAGCUGACAGUUCGUCUUUAUGACAAAGUCUCACAGGCAGAAGUACUGAGUGUGAACUUUACCCAAGAUGAACCUGGAGAGUUGAUUGGUGGAAGUAGAUUUAAACCUGUUGACCAGUUUCUCUUGCCAAAGGGAUUUGAAGGUUCCAUCGUUGGAGAGAACUUCAGUUUGUCUGAUCCCAGCAGUAACAACCCUUUGGUACAUGGUGGAUUUGACAGUGGUGGAGGUUUGAUUUCAUUUCACAGUGUGAGUCGCUUUGGAGUGAAGCAAAGCGUUUUCCCAGAAUUUGAAGAAAAAUUCUUUGAAGAGGACAACCAAUAUGGUGCUGGAUCAUUUAUGUAUCGCGCUUAUGUUGUAGAUGACGAAUUUACGAAGGAAACGAUGCUGGAAAGGAAGAGAGAAAGGACUGAAAGAACGAAAAUGUGGCAUAAAGUUUUGUUGCGGGAAGAAAAAGAAUUGGAACGAGAGAUGCAGCUGUAUGAUGAUAUUUUGAUGGUGGACGUUGUAGAUGUUUACCGCAACCUUCCAAUGAAAUUACUUAAAUUUUAUUCUUGGGUUGCACUGAAUAUGAAGUUUAACUUCACUCUCAAAACCGACGAUGACUGCUUUGUGCACUUAGAAUCAAUUGUCAAGGGACUCAAUGAUAGAAAGUUGCGAGGGAAAGAGCGCACUUGGUGGAGCAGGUUUCGCACUGCUUGGCCAGUGGAGCGCGUAGGAAAAUGGCGGGAACUUGACUACACCGCUCCUGUGUACCCGUCAUUCGCCUGUGGCGCUGGUAAUGUGUUGUCUGCUGACCUAGUGAGAUGGCUGGCGUUGAACGCCGACAACCUUAAACCAUACCAGGGUGAAGAUGUUUCUGUUGGAAUUUGGCUUUCGGCGUUGGGACCAAACUUAGUCAAUGAUUACCGCUGGUCAUGUGGACGCGAGUGUGAUACGGGAACUUUCACUUCCCCUGAAAAUGAACCCGAGGAACUGCGAGAGAUGUGGGCUGAUCUACUGGCAUGUGGGGAUCCCUGUGGCUGUUCCUAGAUCACAAAGUUUAUUGAACUUCAGAGGUAGAGAGAAGCACUGUUGUCCAAGAACAAAACGCUACUACCUGGCCAAUUCUCGAAUCCUGACCUCGAUCUCGACUCGAAGUCCAGAGCGCUAACUUCAAGCCGCUGCAUUUCCAACUUAUUCCGUAGGGUGCUUCUGAAAGCUAUUGGUAUCAACUUAGAACAUUCUCCUCUCAACAAAUUUCAUUACUACCCACACCUUACAAACCACGAAAUUAACUUCUUGACGGAUCAGAACUGACCAAAGACAAUUGGAGAAUGCUACGUGGGUCUUAAAGUCAAUAACUUCACGGUAGAUGAGUACCCAUGAAUUCCAUUAAAUUAUCAGAUGCAUAUCCGAGUCCUUUCCCCUCUCCUUCAUCAGAUUCAGAGGACUCCUGCUCGUCACACUGGUUAAUGUCAAUGUCGCUAAGUACCACAUCGAUACUGACCACACCUCUAGCAACCAUAAAACAGAGAUUAGAGACAUCAAUGCUAUUGAUAGUACCCUUAAGAUAAAUAUGUAGAACUUUCUAGAAUUCUCAGCCAAGCUGACAUGCAUACCAUUGAACUUUCUGGAGCAUUCCAUUAGGUCUUGUAGUCGUGAUGUAAUACUACCAAAAUAGUGGUGUUGUAAAAUUUCAUAUAGAAUACUUUGUGAGUGUAUAUAAGAACUCAGGUGUGUAGAAGUAGUAGUUGUUGUUGUUGUCGGGAGUGACUUACGGUUGGGAAAGCUAUACCGAGAGAGAGCUACUGUAGAAGACUGUUCAUUUCGAGGAACUUUGGAGACAAAUGUGUGUUUGUGUCAGUGGUGAGCUAAGAAGUAGAUUGUAAUGGGCUUAAGUUUGUUGAGGAUAAUUACCGUACUGCCUUUAGGAUUCGCUCUUUCUUAAGAAUAUUGCAAUUCUUGUUUAAGUAGUUGAGUCUGUAGGAUUGAAGUGGUCUUUCUGUCGAUUAAAUUAUACCGUGAAACCAAUUGGA
rnacentral:misc_RNA from 1 species